rnacentral:rRNA from 1 species
UACGGGAGGCAGCAGUGGGGAAUAUUGCACAAUGGGCGAAAGCCUGAUGCAGCUAUGCCGCGUGUAUGAAGAAGGCCUUAGGGUUGUAAAGUACUUUCAUCGGGGAGGAAAAACAAAACUAAUAAUUUUAUUUCUUGACGUUACCCGAAAAAGAAGCACCGGCUAACUCCGUGCCAGCAGCCGCGGUAAUACGGAGGGUGCUAGCGUUAAUCAGAGUUACUGGGCGUAAAGAGCACGUAGGUGGUUUUUUUAAAGUCAGAUGUGAAAUCCCUGGGCUUAACCUAGGAACUGCAUUUUGAAACUGAAAUACUAGAGUAUCGUAGAGGGAGGUAGAAUUCUAGGUGUAGCGGUGAAAUGCGUAGAUAUCUGGAGGAAUACCUGUGGCGAAAGCGGCCUCCUAAACGAAUACUGACACUGAGGUGCGAAAGCGUGGGGAGCAAACAGGGAUUAGAUACCCGU